AAUGAUCCGCUAAUGGAGGAUCUGAGAGCAAACAAGACUUCACUACUUUCGGAAGUUGUUUAAUCGAACUUUUUGUUUGGAGUUUUAAAAAGUAUACCUAAGUAUUUAAACAGAUCGAUAAUCAUGUUUCACAGUUACAAAUUUUGCUCCCAUUACCUACACCGAUUUCAAGAUCCCAGUUAGCAGUCAUUGUACACAGCAAUGACCAGUAUGCUUAACACGACAAACAAUGCCAUAUUACCAACAUACUGUAAUGAUUCCGGAUAUUUGAGGUACGACCAUGCGGAGUUCUCAAUUAGUCACUUUACAUCACGUGAUCUUAUUUGUGUAUAAAUACCGAGAUUCCGCAUUCGUCCAUGUCAUUUGUUGCUAGAGUUCAGCAGAGAAAGGAAGAAGAAAACAGUAUAAUGUUUUGGUUGUGUCACGUUUGAAUGGAAUUGAUGACCGGAAGAUGCCGGAGAAACUUCGAUAAGAACUGGUUACUGUUGUCUUCGGCUCAGGUGCGCUGCGGUGAAUGGUCAUGCCUCACAACAGACAAAGUUUCGACGACAAAUUACUACAACAGGGAACCUGACCAUUUGGAAUCCGCCAUUGUCUUCUCAUGUCGUGGCUGAUUUGAUAUCCUGCUUUAAUGCGUGCCACCAUUCCAUUCAGUGUUUCUCGGUGUUUUUCGAUGAAGAUAGUUCCAACUGUUCUAUGUUUAGCGGGACCAGUGAAGUGGACGGAUUUGUUGAUAACCAGCAAUAUUUCAUCGUUGUCAACAAAGUAUUCCCUGCGGAAUUUAUUGACCAUGCAAAUCGUCUGUGCUCUGGAAACAAUUCAGGAUAUUUCUUUGAUGCUGCUGUCCCAAUUUGUUACAAAAUCAGCACCAUACCAAGAACGAAAAAGGAAGCUGUUGAUUUCUGUCAGGAAUCAGGAAAUCACCUACUGAGAAUAAAAACAGACAAAAAGCAAAAAUUUGUAGAGGAUUUGAACUUAGAUCAUGAUUCAAAAUACCGCAUUGAUGGUGAGAAAAUCGGCGCCGAAUGGAAAUACUCUAACGGUGAACGCAUUACAAAGUUUUAUUGGUAUCCCGGAGAACAACAGGAAGAUAAAAAGUCUAUAGGUUUGAAAUAUAAUUACAAAGGAAAAUAGGAUAAUAUACAUUCUGGUUAUCUGCAUAGAUGUGUAUGUGAAAAAGACAUCGAAUGAUGAAAAAACAAGUACUGUUUUGUGUUUUUCAUGGUUAGAAUAUAUUACGCGUAUGUAUUAAAGAUACGUCGGAUAUGGGAGGUACACUCUUUUGAGAGAGAGAUUUUGAUUAAUACCUGCUAAUUCAUGUACUUGUUCAUCAAGUUGUUGUGUAAUCUGUCGAAUGGUUGAUAUAAUUUUCGAAUUGAUGAUACCAUGGAUUCAUUAGUAAAUUCAACACCUGCUCUGCUUGCAAUAACGAUGUCUUCAAGUAUAUCAAUGAAUGCAGUGAAAAGAAUUACAAUGUACAUACACGCAAUUGAAUUAAUGCGAAAGGGAGAGAGAGCGAAAAUCGCAAUUAUUGAUAUUAACCAUUCGUUGUAGGGCUCACGGCGGGUGUGACCGGUUAUCAGAAGACGCAUCCAUUCAUUUGAUAAUAUCUACAUUUCCAGUGGAUUUUUUUUUUACUAAUUGUAACGGUAGCAAUUUCCUCAUGAACGCUCUUUAGUAAUAAUCAAUGUGCAUAUGGAUCUUGAUAAAUAUAGUAAAUUCCUUUUUGAUGGUUGGAAAUUCAAACAGAAAUGAUAGGAUGAUCUAGAUAUGAUUUGAAAAAAUUGAAAAUACAUGGAACGCUUUCAGUCAUACAGAGACAUUACAAGCUGUAUGUAAGGUGCCAAAAAUGUUAAACGUAUAUGCUGCCAACUGUGUUUUUACGGUCAUAUCCGAAUGAAACGUCACUUGAUUCCACUUAUACUGACGCUUGUGGGAUAAAAUCCUAUAUGUUGAAUGUUUGAGAUUUGACUUGGCACUGGGAUCGCGAAUCGAGCCCGGGACCUCUCAUUUGUGGCGUCGCUGGUGUAGUGGUUAAGCCGUCAGACUCUCGACCGAAAGGUCGUAGGUUCGAGUCCUGACCGCAGCAAGGCCGACGUUGUGUCCUUGGGAAAGGCACUUUACAUGAAUUUCCUCACUUCACCCAAGUGUAAAAGGGGUAGCUGGCUAUAUACAGUGAAAGAUAUUGUUAGAAUGUUAGUGCUCUAGCGCUUGUAACGGCAGCUUACAAUGUAUGCUUCCUAGGAGGCUGAGAAAGUUCUAGAUUGAUAUAAGGUCUGCCGGGGUAAUAAUACAUUGUAAAGCGCUUUGAGUAGCAUACGCUGGAAGAAGCGCUAUAUUAAAAAAAACAACAAUCAAUCAAACCAAUCAUUUGCGAAGCGAGAGUUUUAACCACUAGACUACCGGUUUUGUUUGGUUGAGUAUAUCGAAUUAGAAAAUAAAUAGGGUUUUAUAACAUUUGAAAUGAAGAUAGAGAAUUUAGUUUUUGAAAAUUUAAAGACUUUUGACGUACAUUGUGUUUAUACUUGUUUUGAUGUACACUGUGAAUAAGUAUACUUCUUUUGAGGUACACUGUAAAUAUACUUCUUUUGAGGUACUCUGUAAAUAUACUUCUUUUGAGUUACACUGUAAAUAUACUUCUUUUGAGGUACUCUGUUAAUAUACUUCUUUUGAGUUACACUUUAAAUAUACAUCUUUUGAGGUACACUGUAAAUAUACAUCUUUUUGAGGUACACUGUAAAUAUACAUCUUUUGAGGUACACUGUAAAUAUACUUCUUUUGAUGUACACUGUGCAUAAGUAUACUUCUUUUGAGUUACACUGUAAAUAUACUUCUUUUGAGGUACACUGUAAAUAUACAUUUUUUUAGGUACACUGUAAUAAUACUUCUUUCAAUGUCCUUUGUUUUUACGUUUGUGUCAUUCCAAAUGUAAUAAAGAAAAGGGAGAAACAUUUUGGCUGGACCGGGAAUCGAAACCGGGACCCCUGUAUUACUCGUCAGAUGCUCCAACCACUGGACUUCCCAGGCCGAUAUCCACAGUCCAUAUAACCCCAAUUAUUACAUUUUCCUCCCUCCUUAAAUUGUAUUCGCCCUCGAAGACACAACGUAAAUUCCUUUUGCCCCUGGUAGGAAUUUCACCUGGGGUGGUCAUGACAUCAAAUGUAAAGAAAAGAAAGGAGAGAAGUUUGGUUGGACCGGGAAUUGAACCCAGAACCUUUGCAUUACUAGUCCGAUGCUCUAAUCACUGAACUACCUAGGCCGUUAGCCAUUGUCCAUAUAGCCCUAACUGCUACACACGAAAUUCUAAGAUCAAUAAAAAUAAAAUAAGUUGACAUAGAGUAGCUUCUACUUACGAAACCACCCAUUGAGUUUGUGAAGGGAGGAACUCUCUCUCUCUCUCUCUCUCUCUCUCUCUCUCUCUCUCUCUCUCUCUCUCUUCCACCAGAUUAAUUAACUUACGUAAUUUGAAUCGCCAGAACUUUCAUUCAGACAAAAAAGAGAAAGGAACACACAUAUUAGUAAUAUAUUCGUGAACAUUGUGAGGUGUUUCGUCCCCUGGCUCCCUACACCGGCACGCAGUUUAUGUGGCUGUAAAUGGUAGUCAGAUAAAAAAAAAAAAGGGGGGGGGGUGUCUCGGAGUCUCUACCAUCGUUUUGCCAUGUAUAAACUUGAAAUCUGAAGACUCCAGUCCUGUCUUAUUUUCCUGGCUUGGAUUUCUCUAAAAAAAAAAUAAUUCAAACUUAUAUCGCAUUUUCUUCUAUUUGAGCAGUCAAAAUUUGAGUAAAAUGUCAGACAAGUUUUGACAGAAGUUCUUUUCGAGAAAUCCAGUCGUGACUUCCCUCUUCAUUUGCUUAAUAUGCCCAAACAAGAUCAGAAAUAUGUUGUUAAAAUUUUAAUGAUACAGACACAAACACUUAAUUAAAGAUAAGACAGAAACGAGGUCUUGCAUAAUACAAAAAAAAAUAAAAAAAAAAAUACUACUGUAUAAACAAGCUUAGACAUUGAGAAUCAGAUGAUACAUGAACAUGCUUAAGAUGAUACAGAAACAAGACCUUGGAAAAUACAAAAGGAAGUUGAAGGUUAGAUAUAAUUAAACAGCUCUAAGAUAAUACGUAUUUUAAAUACUUUUCACAAUGAAUAUCCUUCUUAUAUUUUAGACAAUUUUUUUUUUUUUUACAAAAUCUCACAAGAACAACAAGAUCUAGUCAACGUGUUCUGCUUUCAGUCAGACAUAUUUUCUUACAAUAGUGUUAACGACUGGAACUCAUUUCCACCAGCUGAAAUUAAUUCCAUCAAUAGCAAGUGUCAAUUCAAACACUUUUGGACAAAUUCCUGGUCUAUGACUAAUAUGCUAUCACAUAUGGCAAGCCCUUUUACUAUUUAUUCGAAAAAUAAGAUAUCUCUUUAAAUUAAAGAGAUAUCUCUUAUUUUAAAGAGAUAUCUGUAAAAUGGGAGAUAUCUCUUAAGAUUAAAAGAUAUAUCUCUAAAUAAGAGAUAUCUCUUUCUCUUAGAGAGAUAUCUCUUUCACUUAGAGAGAUAUCUCUUUUACUUUUAGAGAUAUCUCUUACAACUUAAAGAGAUAUCUCUUACACUUAAAGAUAUAUCUCUUUCACUUAAAGAGAUAUCUCUUUCACUUUAAGAGAUAUCUCUUUCACUUAGAUAUCUCUUAUACUUUGAGAGAUAUCUCCUUCACUUAAAGAUAUAUCUCUCUAAGAAUUCCUAGAGAUAUAUCUCUCAAAGUAUAAAAGAUAUUUCUCUAAUCGUUGAAAAAGAGAUAUAUCUCAAAGAGAAAGAGAUAUCACUUUUGCAAUAUUUUUAUUAGUUUGAAUACUUAAGGAAUUCUCCCUAAAACGGAACCCCGCCAAAGCAAAUCUUAGCAUGAUGGCUGGGGUGUUGCUAAAACGCAGAACGGGAAAUGGAACGGAAGACGGAAAAUAUAUUAUGCAAUAAUGUUAUGAUGAGGUCAACAUUUUGCAAAAUCAAAAGGCUUACUAUGAACAAGGGAUGCAGAAAUUACAGAGAGAACAGGAAGUCAUCCUCAGAAUCCACCAUUUCAUAUUGAUACCUCAUACUAAUGCAUUAUAAUGUAUUUUUACACGGUGUAUUUUGUGGGUAAAUGUACCAACAGGCGCUUGCUUAAUAAUUUGCAUAGUAAGUUUUAAUAAAAAUAUCAAGCAAGCGCCUGUUGGCACCAUCUUUUUUUUCCGGCUUUGUCAUCCCUCCUCCCAGAUUUUGACAGUAUGUUGUUUCACAAAUGAAGAAAAAAUAAAUAAGAUAACAUACUGAAAAAGACUUGAAUUAUAAUUGAACCCCUUUCAAAUUCUAUUACUUUAUUCUGGCUGGUAUCGUAAGAAAAAAAAUUACGAGCCCAUCCAAUGAAUAAAAGGUACACCCCCC